rnacentral:rRNA from 1 species
GCGUAACACGUGAGCAACCUGCCCCGAAGACUGGGAUAACACCGGGAAACCGGUGCUAAUACCGGAUACCUUCUUCCGAUCGCAUGGUUGGAUGAAGAAAUGGAUUCCGUUCGGGAUGGGCUCGCGGCUAUCAGUUGUUGGUGAGGUAACGGCCCACCAAGGCGACGACGGGUAGCUGGUCUGAGAGGACGACCAGUCACACUGGAACUGAGACACGGUCCAGACACCUACGGGUGGCAGCAGUCGAGAAUUUUUCUCAAUGGGGGCAACCCUGAAGGAGCGACGCCGCGUGGAGGAUGAAGGCUUUCGGGUUGUAAACUCCUGUCAUUUGGGAACAAGGCUACCGAGUUAACUGUUCGGUAGUUGAUAGUACCAGAAGAGGAAGAGACGGCUAACUCUGUGCCAGCAGCCGCGGUAAUACAGAGGUCUCAAGCGUUGUUCGGAUUCAUUGGGCGUAAAGGGUGCGUAGGUGGCGUGGUAAGUCGGGUGUGAAAUUUCGGAGCUUAACUCCGAAACUGCAUUCGAUACUGCCGUGCUUGAGGACUGGAGAGGAGACU